ACAUACCUGUUUGAACAGGAGACAAAUCACAGAAAAUAAACUCUACCCUUGCUGUAUACUAAUCUCAGAUGCUGUAUAAUUGUCUUGGUUCAUUCUUGGAAGUUACUGGAAGUCAAUAAAGACAUUACAAUGAAAAAUAUUUGCUAUUUUGUACAGAUUUCAGUUAAGAACGCCUGCCGGAAUGGCAAACUUUGAAGGAUUUGUUUGGGUUUUAAAGUUUCUUUACGCUCCAUUAAAGUAAAAGAUAUUCAAGUACGUCAGUUCUUACCUUCUCCCAAGAUGUUUCUGGGAAAAAGGCCGAUUUAUGAGAUUAAUUUCAAUGCAAAGGUCAAGUAAUUGAACACGAGUCUGGUUUCAGAUGACAACUGAUCAGCGGUCUACCAGAUGAGAAUGCGUGAAUUUCCAAAGGAAACCCGAUAUAAAGAAUAGUUCAACUAGUCGGCUUGCAGUUUUUAUUUUAGAUUGUUUCUUAUUUUAUGUUCUUCAUUCUAAAAAAAAACAUAUUAAUGAUGCCAAAAUUAUUUCAAAAAUUAAUAUGGGAUAUGUAUAUGCGUAUGCGAUACUUGACAUUAUCGUGUCACUCACAGCAGGCAAGAGACCAUGAUGUAUCAUGGUCUCUUGCAGCAGGACAUCACCCGAAAGUAUGAGAUAUCUCUUCUCAGCUGGCUCGUCUAUGUUGUGAAAGCGUAAUUCUAGAUAGGAAACACCAAUCUAAGAAUAAAACACAAAUACCACAAGCAAACAUGCUUCGUUGACAUAAGGGCAUAAGCUGGAAGAAUUGUCACACUCCCUCAAAGCGGCAUCCUGUUACAGUAACACCUCCGUCAGCCACAAAAGGCUUUAGGGCAACACAAAGAGAUCCCAUUAAUCUGCUUCUUAUAAAAUCAGGCAAGCUAGAAUUGUAAAUCAGAUGAUGCUUGAUAUUUUUCUUGAUCAUGACUACCUGUGAUUACACUGUUUGCGUGGGUGGUCCUUGUGGCCUUAGUGUCGAUUGCUCGAGCAAUUCAAAGUGCGUUCUUCUGAAAGACUGUAACAAGGAUAUUCAUGGACACAAGAAGCUGCUUAACAUAUCAGACAAGUCUCUUCAAACUGAGUUUGAACUUCUUCUUGCUAGAGCUGAUUGGAGUGUCAUCCAUCUAACAGUUGGACCCGACGUAUGGGUUCCAUUUACAAAGUUCCGCUGCACCGCGAUUUGGCCUUGAAGAGUCGGAAGUUUUCUUGUUACAUCAGGGAAGCCUAAAAGAUAAUAAAAAGAGAGUAAGUUUGCUUUGCUUGUAUCGUAUACCGACUUUAACGUAUUCACAAGAGUGAGUCAUUUUGUAAUUAGACGUAAAAUAUGUCUCUGGGGAUAUUGCAGGUGCCUGGAACAUUAUCACGUGAAGUGGGUUUAAUUCCAUUAAACUAAAGUGUGUCUUAAACUUAUUUUUGUUCUAUUUUUUUGUUGUUGUUGUUCUAUUUAGCCAUAGUUCACUUCGUCAAUAUACACUUUCCAAACCAUAACUUCUACCAAAAUGCUUAUUUCAUCCGAUAUUCAAUUGUAUUUAAACCUUCCAUACAUCACACAGAGUAAUAUUUUUCUACUAUCUGAUAAUGGAUUUUAACCCGGUAAUUGAUUCCAUUAACAAAGCUCUUAUCGAUAUUUUCGUUCAAAAGUUGAGGUUUUUGGAAGUAAAUAGUUAAGAUAGCGACCGCCCCUUUAUUGUGAUUACUUUUGCUUGAGGUUGUCAGCACCAAUGAUCACCGUUACGUGUAAGGCAGCGAAGGCAUUUAUUAUUGAUUAAGGAAGUGGCGGGCUAUAGCCCUCCCUCACAUUCUUAACCACGUUGCAAGUUUAAUGAAAAUUGUUCAUGUUCAUAUUGUCAAACAUUUAUAUUUAGACAACAAAUUGCGGUCGCUAAAUGACUGCCCCCAUUCUUUUAAAUGCGUUGAAUUGUUUUUCUUUUUCUUUAACUGAUGUGUAAAGAUGCCGAAUGCAAGUCUGUAUUCCCGCAUUCGGGCCUAUAAGAUACAUUCUAUAUUGGUGUGACGAGUGGAGGGCGCCCAUUUCUCUCAAGGGACAGUAAUAAUGAUUAAGGGACAGCAGAGCAGCCCCAUCAUGCCAAAUGGCCUGCGCAUUUGAUACCUCUAUUAACAGCCCAAACGCGCCCCCUAAAAAUAGUUUUUGUACUUAAUUUCACAGUACUUAAUUUACUUAAACUGUAUUUUUGCCUCACACAUGAAAUUUCCAUUGAUAUUUGUGAGCAUUUUAGUCAUAUCCAGACACUCCUAGGCGUGAUCCCUAGACGCAGAAAUAUAAUUACCUCAAUAUGCCAAAGAAUGGCCCGCUCACUCCUUCGCUUUUUCGUCUAGUUGUACCUAAGACAUAGUUGUACCUGAGACCCGAGCAAGCAUAAAAAAAUACUGCUUAACUAACUACUGGUUUUCACAUACAUCAUAUGCAAAUUACACUGCCUACGCAUUUUCAAUAUCCUACACUCAUUGGCUACCGGAACCUCUUAUUAAAAAAAAUUGUUAAUCUUAACAAAGAUUGUUGCAAUCUCUUUUGGGCGUAGAUGUGCGUCAUUCGCAAAUUCAUAUUUUCAUUCCUUUUCAAUUUUCCUUAAGGCUGAAAAAGGAAUCUUGUGGGUUCCAUAGAAUGUCAAUGGACUGUAAAAUAUCAAUGACUGUGUCAAAAGAGAUCGUCAAUUGCCUCUCUAUUUUCGUUCCCAAUAGUAUUUUGUGGUUAUUUAAAAUUAUUCAUUGCCAAAAAAAAAGAAAAGAAAAUUUGUAUGACAUACGCUUGGCUUGAUGGUUCUGGGUUUUUUUUGGAAAUUCAAAAUGCUAGUGUUGAUUGAAUAAACUUGCCAAAUAGCCAAUCACCUGUCGCUGAUGUUUAUCUAAGUCGACCACAUAUCUUUCACCUAUGCGCUUAAUAGUUUUUAAAUGAGAUACAUUCUAAACAGUAUUCUAGAUAAACUGCAAAUGGCAGUUCAUUAUUUAUUGAUAAGUUAGAUUCAAUGGAAAUACACAAACUGGCAGUUGCAAAAACUAGUUUUGUCUCGCCAGAGUCUAAUGAAUGAGUUGGAGCUGAACCCAUUCUAGUUUUGAUAGCGAGUCACAUCGUUGGAAGAGUACCGCCCUCAUGAAUGAGCAAUGCUAGCUUUAAUGAUGAUAGCAACAGUAAACCAGUAAUUAGAAUGCACGCCUUUUCUUGAUAAUGACUUUGAAAUAGUGUUCCGAUUAGAUACUAUACUAUGAGACCACAGGCAACUAGCUAUCCUCCAGUAGUCUUAUUGUGGUUAAUGCUUGAAGCAAUAUUUGUGUCUUUCCCUUGAAUCUAACUUGUCAAUAAAUAAUUGAAUGCCAUUUGUUGUUUUCAAGCCUCUGCAGUAUUUGAAGUUUAAAAAAUGUGUUUUCUUUUAUGUUAUCGCAGGUCGCUGCUCUUUAUCGAGUAUUAUAAUAAGGUGUUUUAUAGCUGGCAGGCCUUAAACCCCAGGGUUAAUAGCUUGACUUAUUUUCAAGUGAUAUUAUCUUAUGAACAUUGUUUUAAAGCCAACAUAUAAGCAUAUUUAACUUUGUAAAAUAUCAUAUUCUUUUCUACUUAUGAUGUUUGGCUCUACUUUUCGUUUUGUGUGUGAGUUUUUUUACUCUUGUAAUAUAUCGAUGGUCAAGAAUAAUUAUUCAAGUCGAAACGGCUAAGUCGCCACAGAAGAUAAUAAAAUCGCCACUCACACAUAUUGGAUAAAACGUUCAAGAAAUGACGUCCGCUUUUUCGCCUAAAAUACCUACUUGGUAUAAAAUAUGCUUUGCCAUGUGUAUCUGUAUGCGGUCUGAUCCGGUCUUUAUCCCGCCCUGCUGUGUUUAAAGCCCUAGAAGUACAGAAAAGCGUUGCUCUAUUGACUUGUAAUUCCUAUCGUGCCACCUGCUACAAAGCCUCGCGAGGCAUACACGGCGUGAACACCUCGCCUUUUAGAACGCUAUAAAUAAUAUCAGCGCUUGUGGUUAUUCCAUAACCCUAGUUUCUCUAACGCUGCUAUUGUGUUGCGUAUUCUACUUUUACUGGGGUAGUUUGAUCCGCGGAUUAAGGGUUAUCCAUCGAGUAUGACCAAAACACCGUUCUCAAGUCCGCUUUAUUCAAAAUACAAGCUAAAAAAUUUAAUUUAUUGAAAAUAGUUUAACUAAGAAUGACGCUAUAUCUUUUUUGCAUAUCUUUUUAGUUGAGUUUCCGAUUUUUUCACAUUUGUAUUCCAAAGAUUUUAUUAAUCUCACUUUCAAAUUCAUUCACAAUCGUUAGAGAAGUUUCCUUUUUUAUUUCAAUAUCUCUCCGAUGAUUAUUCUUGACGUUUUGCGAUUUUAAAGCAAACACAUACCCUUAUAAGCCAAUUCCUGGUUUCCUUGUUUGUUCUACAAUAAGCGAUCUAGGAACAAAAAAUAAAUUCAUGUAAGCUAGCCGACAGAUGAGAAGCCCUGUCUGAGUGCGGAUUUUAUUGUAUUCAAAGGUUGGUAUGUUCGCGCUCUUGCAACGUCCUUCUUCUAUACUUACAUAGCGUUGCGCCUCUUUGAUUAUAUCACGUUAUGCUUGCUACGCUCCAUGCCCCUCUUCUUCUAUGCUUACAUAGUGUUGUACCUCUAUGAUUAUAUCACGUUAUGCUUGCUACGCUCCAUGCCCCCCUUCUUCUAUGCUUACAUAGUGUUGCGCCUCUAUGAUUAUAUCUUGUUAUGCUUGCUACACUCCAUGCCCCCUCUUCUUCUAUGCUUACAUAGCGUUGCGCCUCUAUGAUUAUAUCACGUUAUGCUUGCUACACUCCAUGCCCCUCUUCUUCUAUGCUUACAUAGUGUUGCGCCUCUAUGAUUAUAUCACGUUAUCCUUGCUACAUUCCAUGCCCCUCUUCUUCUAUGCUUACAUAGCGUUGCGCCUCUAUAAUUAUAUCACGUUAUGGUUGCUACAUUCCAUGCCCGUCUUCUUCUAUGCUUACAUAGCGUUGCGCCUCUAUGAUUAUAUCACGUUAUGCUUGCUACAUUCCAUGCCCCUCUUCUUCUAUGCUUACAUAGCGUUGUACCUUUAUGAUUAUAUCUUGUUAUGCUUGCUACGCUCCAUGCCCCUCUUCUUCUAUGCUUACAUAGUGUUGUGCCUCUAUGAUUAUAUCACGUUAUGCUUGCUACGCUCCAUGCCCCCCUUCUUCUAUGCUUACAUAGCGUUGUACCUCUAUGAUUAUAUCUCGUUAUGCUUGCUACAUUCCAUGCCCCUCUUCUUCUAUGCUUACAUAGUGUUGCGCCUCUAUGAUUAUAUCACGUUAUGCUUGCUACACUCCAUGCCCCUCUUCUUCUAUGCUUACAUAGUGUUGCGCCUCUAUAAUUAUAUAUCACGUUAUGCUUGCUACACUCCAUGCCCACUCUUCUUCUAUGCUUACAUAGUGUUGUACCUCUAUGAUUAUAUCUUGUUAUGCUUGCUACGCUCCAUGCCCCCCCUUCUUCUAUGCUUACAUAGUGUUGCGCCUCUAUGAUUAUAUCACGUUAUGCUUGCUACACUCCAUGCCCCUCUUCUUCUAUGCUUACAUAGCGUUGCGCCUCUAUGAUUAUAUCACGUUAUGCUUGCUACACUCCAUGCCCCUCUUCUUCUAUGCUUACAUAGCGUUGUACCUCUAUGAUUAUAUCACGUUAUGCUUGCUACACUCCAUGCCCCUCUUCUUCUAUGCUUACAUAGUGUUGCGCCUCUAUAAUUAUAUAUCACGUUAUGCUUGCUACACUCCAUGCCCACUCUUCUUCUAUGCUUACAUAGUGUUGUACCUCUAUGAUUAUAUCUUGUUAUGCUUGCUACGCUCCAUGCCCCCCCCUUCUUCUAUGCUUACAUAGUGUUGCGCCUCUAUGAUUAUAUCACGUUAUGCUUGCUACAUUCCAUGCCCCUCUUCUUCUAUGCUUACAUAGCGUUGCGCCUCUAUGAUUAUAUCACGUUAUGCUUGCUACACUCCAUGCCCCUCUUCUUCUAUGCUUACAUAGCGUUGUACCUCUAUGAUUAUAUCACGUUAUGCUUGCUACACUCCAGCCCCUCUUCUUCUAUGCUUACAUAGCGUUGCGCCUCUAUGAUUAUAUCUUGUUAUGCUUGCUACCCUCCAUGCCCCUCUUCUUCUAUGUUUACAUUGCGUUGCGCCUCUAUGAUUAAAUCACGUUAUAAAAAUCUCGUUGCGCUCAAGCUUCCGUUCUCAUUUAAACCCUUGGGGAUUUGUUGUUCCGAAAAUGUGUUUUAUCGAUCCUUUAAUAGAAAGGCAAGUUUUAAUCCAUUAACCUGCUAGCCGGCUCUCAUUCGGGGUUAUUGGAAAAUGUUAUGUUUCUAAAUAGUUGGAACCCUGUGGCGCCCACAGGCUUCCCGAUAAUCGAAAACAAAAUAGUUCCGACUAGCCCAGAAUGCAACGAGAGCCGGCUAGCCCUGAUGCCCAGGACAUCAUUAUAUAAAUUGGGGCAUAAUUAAUUUCAUCGCCUCAGAAUUCAAGACCCUUGAGUGUUACUCGUAUGACGUGCGUGACCGUAGAAAAGAGUUUUGGAGUAAUUAUUACCAGUACACUCUCGUGGGUAAAGCAAACUCGUGUUGUUGUAUCAAGAGCGAACAGCAUGCUGGGACUGCUGAAGCGGGCAGGGCCGCGCUCACAAACGAGGCGGUCAGAAGGACCUUGUAUUUAUCGAAGGGCCUUUAAUUAACUGCCACUUGAUGGCUCCUUCUCGCUGUACCACCGCAUGUGACUUAUAGAAUUCAAGCAACCAAGCCUGUUCUUGAUAUGGUUUAAAGGAAGGGUUAUAUUUCUUAAGCCCUGUGCAAACUGCGCUAGUACCCGCUAGCCUUGCUGUGCCAACAAUACUGGCGGAGUACUGGGCCGGAGUUAGGCCGGUGUGCAAACUGCCCCAGCACAUCGCAAGCAUUUGAUGCAUGACGGGAACAAAGGCAACCUAAGACCUUUUGUUUUCCAAAGGCAACCUACGAUUUCGGUGGAUUCCAUUGGAAUUCAGGUCUAUUUCGUGUUGUAUAGCGGUCGCCAUUUUAACAGAGGACGAUAAAAACAAUGAAUUUAAUCUGAUAAUUAAUAAGUAGAACGUGGGAUUGUGCUCUGCAUGAUACAUUUCGGACAAAUCGGCCAUGUUUUCUUUAAUUAUGGUGCGGUAACGUUUAUUUCAUUUGAAAUGCCAAUAUUAUUUGGACAAAAGCUAUUUUUCGCUAUGAAAACGAUGGGUUCGUGUGCAAGCUGCGCCAGCAAAGCUGCGAUAUGCUCGAAUGACCACGAGACAAAGAAAAUGCUGGCGAAGUGCUGGCCAAAUGUUUUAAUUCGAUCAAAAUUUUGCCAGCACCAGCCAGCACCUCCCAACAAGGUGUCCAAACUGCGCCAACAUUGCUGGGGCAGCGAUUCGCUGGUGGCUCUACCCAGUGUUCCCGCCAUCACACCGUCCAUCUUUGAAAACGCAGUGCGCGAAGAAAUGGAUUCAGAUUCCAUAUCCAAUACACCAAA